CAAAUCCAAUCACAUGAAAAAGAAAAGUCUUAACUUCUGGAGGUUCCUACGUAUGAGUAUUUUUUCGUGAGCUUGAUUAGGCUUUCACCUAGCAUUUAAGAUUCAGAGUAUAAACUGUCCUAAGCUGUUCCCAAAUCUAAACAGAUAAGGAUUAGAAAAAUCAACUUCUAUACAUUUGAAGUCAGUUCAGAUCCAGCAGGAGAAUACUGACAUCCAACUGUCUAAGUUCUGCUUCUGAAAGAGCCUGAAGACAAAGGGUAGAGCACUCUCUUCCCAGCAUUCUAUUCCUUUUCUUCAUUUUUAAGCCAAGACAGCCAGCUACUGGGUGCUGUGGAUCUAACCCAGUACCAACUAUCUAUUGAUCCCUCCUGAGGUUCUUCAACCUUCCUCCCUCUUCUCCCAGUGGGACAGAUGAAAGGACAAUGCACGUGGACUCAAAGCCUUUCUUUGUCAACUUGCAGUCUUGUCUACCUUUAGUGGGGAUCCAGACACUUACUACUUUGAAUUUGUCUUCGACCUGGUGUCCUUGGGUCAGCAGAUGUCAACUCCCUUUGGAAAAGUGAGCCAGCAGCUAUGCAAAACACAGAAGCCUGGCAGCAACCAAAUGCUUUGAACUUGAAAGUGAAGGAAAAUUUAAAGAACAUCGAGCAUCUGUCUUUCUUUCUACAUAUUAGCCAAGUCAAAUAAAUGUGUGGAUGGGACAGUUAACAACUGAAACCUGAAUUCAUUUCCCAACAACCUCAACUAUGUGUGUUGAAUAGCUGGAGAGUUGUUUUGUUGUUGUUUUGGUUGAACAAGUCACAAUUUCAGAAGCAAUUUGCAGAUUUAUUUGAGCUUGGGAUUAUAUUUAAAUUUCUG
ensembl:lncRNA